rnacentral:tRNA from 1 species
UCCCUGGUGGCUCAGUGGUAAAGAAUCUGCCUGCAAUGCAGGAGACCAGGGUUCGAUCCCUGGGUUGGGAA